rnacentral:rRNA from 1 species
GACGAACGCUGGCGGCGUGCUUAACACAUGCAAGUCGAACGGAAAGGCCCUGCUUUUGUGGGGUUCUCGAGUGGCGAACGUGUGAGUAACACGUGAGUAACCUGCCCUUGACUUUGGGAUAACUUCAGGAAACUGGGGCUAAUACCGGAUAGGAGCUCCUGCUGCAUGGUGGUGGUUGGAAAGUUUCGGCGGUUGGGGAUGGACUCGCGGCUUAUCAGCUUGUUGGUGGGGUAGUGGCUUACCAAGGCUUUGACGGGUAGCCGGCCUGAGAGGGUGACCGGCGAAAUUGGGACUGAGAGAGGGACCAGACUGCUACGGGAGGCAGCAGUGGGGAAUAUGGCACAAUGGGAGGAAGCCUGAUGCAGAAAAGCAGCGUGCGGGAUGACGGCAUUGGGGGUGUAAAAAGAUGGCGAAUGUGACGAAGAGUGAGUGACGGUAAUGGGUAAAGAAGCACCGGCUAACUACGUG